rnacentral:rRNA from 1 species
GGAGGUCACUGCUAUUGGGAUUCGACUAAGCCAUGCGAGUCGAGAGGGUUCGGCCCUCGGCAGACGGCUCAGUAACACGUGGAUAAUCUGCCCUUAGGUGGAGGAUAACCUCGGGAAACUGAGAAUAAUACUCCAUAGAUCUAGGAUGCUGGAAUGCACUUAGAUUGAAAGUUCCGGCGCCUAAGGAUGAGUCUGCGGACUAUCAGGUAGUAGUCAGGGUAAAGGCCUGACUAGCCUACGACGGAUACGGGUUGUGAGAGCAAUAACCCGGAGACGAUAUCUGAGACACGAUAUCGGGCCCUACGGGGCGCAGCAGGCGCGAAACCUUCACAAUGUGCGAAAGCGCGAUGAGGGGAUCCCAAGUGCUUGCUCGUAAGAGUAAGCUGUUUUUAUGUCUAAAACGCAUAGAGAGUAAGGGCUGGGUAAGACGGGUGCCAGCCGCCGCGGUAAUACCUGCAGCUCAAGUGGUGACCGCUAUUAUUGGGCCUAAAACAUUCGUAGCCGGUUUGGUAAAUGCCUGGGUAAAUCGUGUAGCUUAACUAUACGAAUUCCGGGUAGACUGCCAAACUUGAGACCGGGAGAAGCUAGAGGUACUCCUUGGGUAGAGGUGAAAUUCUGUAAUCCUAGGGGGACCACCAGUGGCGAAGGCGUCUAGCUAGAACGGGUUUGACGGUGAGGAAUGAAGCCCUGGGGCGCAAACCGGAUUAGAUACCCGGGUAGUCCAGGGUGUAAACGCUGCUUGCUUGAUGUUAGUUGGGCUCCGACCAUAUGC